ACAUCACAACGGGUCUUUUUAUUUUUAAUGUACUUUGUGGAUCAGAAAUAAAAAAUCAAGGCGGGAUGACCCCAUUGUUAUAUGUAAUGUGUCACACUACGAUACAUCACUAAUGAGAUAUCCGCCAUAACUGUAAAGCCCAUCACACAAUGAAAAACAUAAGGAAUAGGAAAUAUGAAAUAGUGACGUCGUAACACGCAAAACACAACAAACAAAUAGCAACAGACUAUGUUAACAAUAACAAGCUUCGGUCAAAAUCGAAAACGUAGGACGAUGGGUGUAUACAGAGCGUGCCAUAUUUUUGUUGCCGGAACGGUAUCAAACACGUGACUUCUGCAUUGAGGUUAAAUCGAGGCAAUUUUAGAAACAAUGCAUGGGAUGUUCGCUGUGGCACAAUGCCGCUUCCGGGUAUUAACGUCCUUGCAAAAAUCAGAUUCAACAGCGACCAAUAGUAUUCUUAACAGCGCAGACAUGUUAUCUGUGGUAAUAGGUGUACAGUCGGACUUUAUGUAGACACAGCCAAAAGAUGCUUGGUAGUCUCGACCAACCCAGCGUCUACUUUAGUCCACUCGCUAAACAAAGUAUUAAAAUAAAUCGAAAAAACAUAGAAAUAUUUUAUUAGUUCUAUAAAUUACACGGACUCCUGUACAGGUGGUUCAUAACCUUCAGGUCGAUCUACUUUACUUCCAACUUCCGCCGGUUCAGAAGACGACGUCUUGCCUCCCUCGCCGUGUAACUCGAGCAGCUUUGACAAUUCAAACCUGGGCUUCUUCAAUACUUUCACCUUGCGAAUGUAAACGUCGUGUAACGGAUAAAUUCCCUGACACGCCUUUUCAA